rnacentral:lncRNA from 10 species
CACCUUUAUUUCUUGCUCUUUUGCUUGUUGUUGCUAUUGUUACCAAAAGGAAAACCUUUUUGCUCAUUGCUUACUUCUAGAAUAAAAAAAAAAUUCAAACGAUUUUUUUCCGGUUAUUUUGUAAUCAGGUCUAAUUAGCUCUAAUACUUUUUCAGAUGAUUCUUUUUGUGUUCUCAGUGUAGAUCUUCACAUCUUCUGAAAAUAGUAAUACCAUUCUUCAAUUAUUGUCUGCACUUUCUUGCUUCAAGGUCUUUGAUUCUGAAGUUAUUGUCUGAAUUUCUAUCAUUCCUGUCGUUCAAACGCCUACUCUUCAUCAGGACCCAGUUCCUCUGUGAAACCUCGUUUAACGUCCCAGGAAGAGUUAAUUUCCCUCUCCUUGAACUUCCAGAAAACUUGGUACAUGCCUUUUAUUAUAACCGUAUCAUACUGCAUUGUAAUUAUCUGCUUAUAAAACUGCUUUCCCCAAGAAAACUCAAAACAACACACGUUUCUUCUCUAGGCCAUGAGUCAAGCUGGAGGUGUUCUCUGUGGAAGAGGGAGGAGUGAUGCUCUCUUAUUCAUCCAGGUGUUCCCUGUUCAGCAGUUUGGUACCGACAGAGAAGAGAGAGGGCGGGGGUGCACUAGGAAAUCAAUGAGUAGACAAGGGAGCCCACCAGUAGGGGACAUGCUGGAACCAGAUCUAGGACCCUGGCUUUUCUGCCCCACUGUUAUGCCUCUCCAGAUGCUGAAAUCCAGUUCGGGGACCUAUCGUCUCUGGGCUGCCUUUUAGCUCUUGUGGGACUUGAUUAACUUGGAAAAGUGGCGCCACUCUGUGCCCUGUACCCUUCCCACGCCUCACUAUGCCACAGCCGCAGGCCCAGCCAGGGUUUCACCCACGCGUCCCCGGGAAGAAUCGCGCCACCUAGAGGUCCAACAUGGAACUCCUCUUCCUGCAAGUUGGUUCGCGGCCUGAAUUCCAAUCCCCCAGCCGGCGCCGCCGUGGCGCAGGUCCAUCUCCUCCCGCGCAGUGCUAGGUGUUUGAGGCGCGGUCUCCUGGCUAGAGGCUGCCCAGGCGUUAUGGGGCCACACUUGCUGAGGGAAUUGUGCUGGCAUUCUACAUGGCACUGGACAUUUAUUCUCUGAAGUAUUUCCAC